rnacentral:rRNA from 1 species
UACGUAGGGUGCGAGCGUUAAUCGGAAUUACUGGGCGUAAAGCGUGCGUAGGCGGUUCGUUAUGUCUGCUGUGAAAUCCCCGGGCUCAACCUGGGAAUGGCAGUGGAAACUGGCGGGCUUGAGUGUGGCAGAGGGGGGUGGAAUUCCGCGUGUAGCAGUGAAAUGCGUAGAUAUCUGGAGGAAUACCGGUGGCGAAGGCGGCAUCCUGGACCAUAACUGACGCUGAGGCGCGAAGGCUAGGGGAGCGAACGGGG